AGACUGAAGGCUCUGGCUCCCCGCCCUCUCCCCUAGGUGGCAGAUAGCACGCCGGCUGGAAGGGCGCAGCCCCUCUCCGGGAGCUCAGUCCGAGGCAGGGAGCAGGGAGAAGGCAGCUCCCUCCCGCCCCCGUACCCUGCCUCCCACCUGGGGGAGAGGGGCGGGCGCCUCGGCCGCGUGGCUUGCGGCUUAUUUUCCCAGCUGGCAAGCGUCGCGCUGCAGACAAGGGAAUGCCUGUGGGACGCAGCGCUCACGCCGAGCUCUGGAGCUCUUCUCUCACACUCAGGUCCUGCGUGGUCCGAAGCUCCAGGGCCCCCUGAUCCCGCCCAGCCCUUUCCAGGAGCGGAAGGGUUAAGAAUGAUGAGCAAUAAAGCACCUUAGAGGAGAUGAAGUUUUUCCUCUGAAGAACAGUUCCUUUUCACACCACCAGGAUUUGAAGUGACUCAAGAACGCCCUCUAUUGAUAAGAAAAUCUAGAGCACCUAUGUACUUAAGGAACAGGAUAUGGGGAAGACAGAUCAGAGAGGAAGGAGCGAGCGGAAAGACCCAAACCUAACUGAAUUUAUUGAUCCUUAACUCUUUAUAUGUUUUAAAUCAUGGUCAAUAAAGCCAGAUGCAUCUUUCAUGGGGAUUUAAUUAAAUUUUGGAUUCAGAAGGAAAAAAGUCUUAUGUCUUACAGUUAGUCUUUAUUAGCAAAACACUUCGAAAAGUGCUAUAUUUACUUUUUAAAAGAUGUUUACUAGUAUUUAAAUGAAAUAUGUGUUCAUUGGCUAUAUAUAGUAAUUGCAAAAGUAACUUUUUUCUCUAAUAAUAUUUAGUCCACAGCAUUAUCUAAAAAAGUCAAUUGCCCCCCCCCAAAAAAAGUCAUUUUUCCAGGCCAACUCUGAAGCUAUCAUUAAGCAUAUUAUGGAUAUACAGAAGGUUUGGAUUAUAUCGUGGGUAGUGAAAGGUGUGUUGAACACUUGAGUCAUAGUAUGUAAUAAGUAGGUAAUGAAAAGUUACAGUAAAAAUAGAUAGGCAUGCUUCAUUAGGGACCUAGUGGUUUGAGCAAUUCACAAUGUGUCUAAUGACUAAAGUGGUAAGAGAGGGAAGGUUUGCCCCAAUUACCCUGGUCCAUUGAUUAGAACAUUCUAACAUGUAGAAUAUUAGCUUGUCUGUGGUUCGUAUGAAUUUAAUUAGAGAUUCUGAGUAACAUAGCGGUAGAGUUGCGAUUUGGAUGUAAGUGAGCUUAAUAUGGCAGCCC